UACGAGUGCUCCAAGCGUUAUCCGGAAUCAUUGGGCGUAAAGGGUGUGUAGGCGGUUGUGUUAGUCUUUUGUUAAAUUCUUCGGCUUAACCGGGGGCAUGCGAAAGAAACGGCACAACUAGAGGAUGCGAGAGGUGAAUGGAACUCAUGGAGUAGGGGUGAAAUCCGUUGAUAUCAUGGGGAACACCAAAAGCGAAGGCAAUUCACUGGCGCACUCCUGACGCUGAAACACGAAAGCGUAGGUAGCGAAUGGG
rnacentral:rRNA from 1 species